CUACGGGUUGCUGCAGUCGAGAAUCUUCCGCAAUGGACGAAAGUCUGACGGAGCGACGCCGCGUGCGGGAUGAAGGCCUUCGGGUUGUAAACCGCUGUCAGUGGGGAGGAAAUGCAUCAGGGUUCUCCCUGGUGUUUGACCGAUCCGCAGAGGAAGCGCAGGCUAAGUUCGUGCCAGCAGCCGCGGUAACACGAACUGCGCGAACGUUAUUCGGAAUCACUGGGCUUAAAGAGUUCGUAGGCGGCCUUUCAAGUCGGGUGUGAAAUCCCUCGGCUCAACCGAGGAAUUGCGCCUGAUACUGUUGGGCUGGAGGGGGAUAGGGGUGAGCGGAACUGAUGGUGGAGCGGUGAAAUGCGUUGAUAUCAUCAGGAACACCGGUGGCGAAGGCGGCUCACUGGAUCUCUUCUGACGCUGAGGAACGAAAGCUAGGGGAGCGAACGGGAUUAGAUACCCUCGUAGUC
rnacentral:rRNA from 1 species